AUGCUAUUUUUCUUGAGAGAAGCCACUAGUCAAAUCUACGGCCCCGGGUCUCUUCUUUAUCAUAUUUCCCUUCGAGAUCUAUUUUCAUUCUUUUUUUUAGAUCUAUAUUAUCGAAACCCCAAAAAUAUCUCGCUGAAUUUUUUUGCUUUUAUUUGUAUCUAUCAAUCUACUAGAAUUUUAUCAUGUCAACUUGACAAUUUCUGGCACCAUUACCCGAAAGGGAUUGACAACCCCUUUAACACGUCGGGUUGCAAGUAUUUGUUCUUUGUGUGCAGGUAUCGUUUACGUAGUGUUGCGUGGUUCUCCUACUGGUUACAUAACCUUUGUCUCAUCACUGAGGGUAAUACCUACCGUAGGUGUGUUGUAUCAUCCCUUCCUCUUUGGGUAAAUACCGACGUAGUUCAAGCCGCAUCAAAAGGAAUUUCUGGCGCCGUUGCCAGGGAGACAUCAUCAACACCUACCAGGUACCUAAUCACAAAUCUCAUCUCCUUGCAAUUUACAUUAUUUCCCAUUUGCCGCUCGUUUUCAUCCCCCCACUUCACAAAAUUUGCCGUUUUUGUUCGCCCCCUUUUUCGUUCGUCGUUUUCUCAUCAGAUCUCUUAUUUGCAUGAACUUGUCACCAUGAGUAACUUUGGCAUGGCAGAAACAGAUGAUGGCCUAACUCCUAAAAUUGGACGAUCUGGCAAUCUGGAUGCUAAAACUUUUAUUUUGGGGCAAGGGAAUAUUAUGAGAAAAGAACAUAUCCAAGAAUUUUUCAAUUGUGUCUGA
rnacentral:rRNA from 1 species